rnacentral:rRNA from 1 species
GUGAGGAAUAUUGGUCAAUGGGCGAGAGCCUGAACCAGCCAAGUCGCGUGAAGGAAGAAGGAUCUAUGGUUCGUAAACUUCUUUUGCAGGGGAAUAAAGUGCAGGACGUGUCCUGUUUUGUAUGUACCCUGAGAAUAAGGAUCGGCUAACUCCGUGCCAGCAGCCGCGGUAAUACGGAGGAUCCGAGCGUUAUCCGGAUUUAUUGGGUUUAAAGGGUGCGUAGGUGGUUUGAUAAGUCAGCGGUGAAAGUUUGCAGCUUAACUGUAAAAAUGCCGUUGAAACUGUCGGACUUGAGUGUAAAUGAGGUAGGCGGAAUGCGUGGUGUAGCGGUGAAAUGCAUAGAUAUCACGCAGAACUCCGAUUGCGAAGGCAGCUUACUAAGCUACAACUGACACUGAAGCACGAAAGCGUGGGGAUCAAACAGGAUUAGAAACCCCGGUAGUCC